GGGCGGAGUCUUGCGGUGAGAGAGAGAGUGAUGGUGAUUAGGAGUCUUUAUAUUCACUUGGGUCAGAACUUCAGCGGGCGACUCCAGAUAAGGACUGAACCGGAUCCAGACCGGAGCAGAGAACCGGCCCGUGAGCGGAUCAAGAUCCAGCAUGGGGACGUGGACACACACACUCCACCAGGAGACGGACGGUGACGAGUCUCUUCUGAAGCGUGAUGAACGGACCGCGUCUGUGAAGCUGAAGGAGGUGGUUGGUUGCACACACGCAGACUGUCACUGUGAGUGUUUCCUGCCAGGACGACAUCAGAUCAGGUCAUGUGAUCGCUGUGGUCACGGCUGGGUCGCCCACGCUGUGGGGAAGGUGUGCGGUCCGGCGCUCGUGUGUUCGGGGCAGGUGGAGAUCGUCCAGAGUCACGUGGUGUUUGACAUCAGCAGUCUGAUCCUGUACGGGACGCAGGCGCUUCCUAUCCGGAUGAAGAUCCUGCUGGAUCGGUUGUUCAGUGUCCUCACACACACACAGGUGCUCAACAUCAUACACACACUCAGCUGGACGCUGCGUGACUAUGUGAGAGGAUACAUGCUGCAGGACUCCAUGGGGAAGGUCCUGGAUCGCUGGGUCACCAUGAGCCCGGAGGACGAGGUCGUGACCUUGCGUCAGUUUCUGCGUUUUGGGGAAACGAAAUCCAUCGUGGAGCUCAUGUCUGAUGAGAUCUGCCCGGAGACAGCGUUCAGAGCUGACGUCCGUCACAGUCCCAGAGAGACGCUGCAGCACUUCGAGAAUCUGCCGGGAGGAACUCUAGCGUUCCUGCAGCCCUUUCACUACAUCAGUCCGUCCCCGUUCCCUCCCUCACCGGCUCUGGUACCUCAUCCCGCCACGCAAAAACUACAGCGGCUGAGCGAACAGAACCACGGCGAGACGAGACCCAGAAACCCAAGAGGAACGUCGCUGCUACGAAAACAUGAUGAGCAGCGUCUCCGUCCUCCGAUCGCAGAUUCCUCAGGAACGCGCGAGCGCCGGCACGGAUCGUCCUCGAGUAAAGGCCGCGUGAGCUGCGACGCCUGCGCCAAGACGUUCUACGAUAAAGGAACGCUGAAGAUCCACUUCAACGCUGUGCACCUGAAGAUCAAGCAUCGCUGCACUAUCGCCGGCUGCAACAUGAUGUUCAGCUCCCUGCGCAGCCGCAACCGGCACAGCGCAAACCCCAACCCUCGACUGCACGCCGCGCUCCAGCACGCCACCCACAGAUUCACCGCUCAACCUCGCCGGACACCGCUGCCUGUUUCCAUGGCAGCCAACAACACUGACCAUCGGAAAGACCAUCCAGGCGUCUGUGAAGCUCACGGUAUCUCAGGAGGCGGAGCUACGGGGCAGUCAGAAAGGCCUCUGUGACGUGAUCGACGUGACGCCUAAGAAGAAGUCACGGAAGUCCAGCACGCCGCUGAAGCUCAAGCGAGAGAUUCGCAGUGAGGAUGACGAUCACAUCACGGUAUCGCCAAGGCAACCGGUCAACAGUCUCCAUGGCAACAAGCAUCAUAUAUUCAACACCCAUACGCAAUACAAACACCUCGAUAAGACGGCGUACAGUUAUCAUAGCAACGUGGAAGAGAGAAAUGAUGGGAAGAUGGGAGAGAUUCCAAGAGUGGAUGACGAAUGGAAAGGAAGAUUUCGACCUCUACUAAAGGUCAAAGAGGAGCUGUGUGGCCCCACCUGUGACUGUAGAGGUCAUCGCCAUAGCAACCUGUGACUGUGACAACGUGAAAUCAAAUCUGACUCUGUGUUCCUGCUUUUAUUGUUGGAGUGCUGCAGUAUUGGAGAGGAAGGUUGUGCUGCCCUGGUUUAAGGUCUGUUAUCAAACCCGUCACAUGUUAAAGAACUCAAUCUGAACUACAAUGAACCAAGAGAUUAAGGAGUGAAGCUUCUGUCUGUUCUACUGAAGGACCCACACUGUAAACUAGAGAAACUAGAGCUGGAAUACGAUUGCAGAGGAGAGGAAGGUUGUUUUGCUCUGGCUUCAUCUCUUAUAUCAAACCCAUCACAUCUGAGAGACUUCUUUAGCUUGAAUUUGAAGUUAACUUCAUCUGCCUGAUGAAAAGUGUCUGUCAAGGGGAGGCGGCAGCACACAUGGACACUACAGCUUAUCUGCCAUCAGAAAGUGCUAAAUAUCUUCAUUUGCUAACUCUGGACUUUAUACAAACAACAAGAUGCAUACUUGAACUUUUUUGCACCACUACAUUCCUGUUAUGACCAUUACUACUUAAUAUUACUACUGUUCAUUAUCAUUAUAAUGAUAUAAUGAUGAUAGUGAUAAUGAUAAGAUCAUUAUCACUACAGCUUUAUUAUUAACUAUCUGUGCAUCCCAAUUUGCGUACUUAUGCGGUAUUCUAUGACGUUUUUAAGUAUAAAUAGUGAAUAGUGUGUUCACACUGAAAAUUCCAAAAAGAAAAAGUGCACUUUAAAUACCCGGAUGAUGCACUAAAUUAAUGGAAAAAAAACGAAGUGUGGAAUGUUGUACCCUUCAUGCACUCAACUGUCACAGCUUUUAUUACAUAGCGCAGGGGUAAGGGCUAUCAGACUCUGCUGAGUGACAAAAUAACAUUAUAAAAUGCACACACUACAGGGAUGAGUACAUAGUGUAUAAGUGCAUAGUUUAUAGUGUGUCAUUUGGGACACAACUCAUGUAAACCAGCCAUAUAUUCUCACAUUGCUCCUGCUGGAUAAAGUGUUUUGAGUUUUUCUCUUUG